AGUGAACGCUGGCGGUAGGCCUAACGCAUGCAAGUCGAACGGCAGCACAGUAAGAGCUUGCUCUUACGGGUGGCGAGUGGCGGACGGGUGAGGAAUACAUCGGAAUCUACUUUUUCGUGGGGGAUAACGUAGGGAAACUUACGCUAAUACCGCAUACGACCUACGGGUGAAAGCAGGGGAUCUUCGGACCUUGCGCGAUUGAAUGAGCCGAUGUCGGAUUAGCUAGUUGGCGGGGUAAAGGCCCACCAAGGCGACGAUCCGUAGCUGGUCUGAGAGGAUGAUCAGCCACACUGGAACUGAGACACGGUCCAGACUCCUACGGGAGGCAGCAGUGGGGAAUAUUGGACAAUGGGCGCAUGCCUGAUCCAGCCAUACCGCGUGGGUGAAGAAGGCCUUCGGGUUGUAAAGCCCUUUUGUUGGGAAAGAAAAGCAGCAGGUUAAUACCCCGCUGUUCUGACGGUACCCAAAGAAUAAGCACCGGCUAACUUCGUG
rnacentral:rRNA from 1 species